GAGACCCACGUCCUUAGUUACUAACUUCAUAAUCUAUGGAGAGCACUCUAAGGAGACUGCAGAUGCUAAAUCUGAGGAGGGUGUGGGCGACGGUAGGUCCGUAUGCCCCGAAUCUUCCGGGCUACACGCGGCCUACAUUGCCAAGCACAACGGGACUACGACUCCGAAAGGAGAAGUUAAUCCCUUAAAACUUGGCCAAGUUUGGAUCGAGGGCUGAAAUUCGCCCUCGUGAAAAUGGAAUCCCUAGUAAUCGCGAGUCACUAUCUCGCGGUGAAUAC
rnacentral:rRNA from 1 species